AUUGAACGCUGGCGGCAGGCUUAACACAUGCAAGUCGAGCGGGGUGAUGGUGCUUGCACUAUCACUUAGCGGCGGACGGGUGAGUAAUGCUUAGGAAUCUGCCUAUUAGUGGGGGACAACAUCUCGAAAGGGAUGCUAAUACCGCAUACGUCAUACGGGAGAAAGCAGGGGAUCACUUGUCACCUUGCGCUAAUAGAUGAGCAUAAGUCGGAUUAGCUAGUUGGUGGGGUAAAGGCCUACCAAGGCGACGAUCUGUAGCGGGUCUGAGAGGAUGAUCCGCCACACUGGGACUGAGACACGGCCCAGACUCCUACGGGAGGCAGCAGUGGGGAAUAUUGGACAAUGGGGGGAACCCUGAUCCAGCCAUGCCGCGUGUGUGAAGAAGGCCUUAUGGUUGUAAAGCACUUUAAGCGAGGAGGAGGCUCUUUUGGUUAAUACCCAAGAUGAGUGGACGUUACUCGCAGAAUAAGCACCGGCUAACUCUGUGCCAGCAGCCGCGGUAA
rnacentral:rRNA from 1 species